rnacentral:lncRNA from 1 species
GACUUGACCUCUUUGAGCAUGUUAUAUUCGGCCACUUGGAUCAAACUGAACUUGCAAAGAUAGAUUCGAUUCUAUCGAAACUAUUGUUAAUUAAACUGCUGUAUUUUAGCGAAAAUAUGAAAACUCUUUUUUUUUUUGAGAAAUAGGUAGCAAGCUACCUGCUUCAUUCAUUAAGCAAAAUGAAUUAGGCGUACAGGAUGGAAGCAGCUAGAGCCUCCGAAACGAGUCGGCAAAAAAUAAAAAAACAAAAACAAAAGAAAAAUAGAAAAAUAAACGAAAAAGAAAAAUAAGAAAACUAAACAACACAGAA